GCAGCAGCGCGUAUACGAGGUGCAGCGUUAUCGGAUGACUGGGCGUAAGCGCACGCAGCGUCUGUAAGUAGAUGUGAAAUCCCCGGGCUACCUGGGAACUGCAUUCAAACUGACAGGCUAGAGUCUCGUAGAGGGGGGUAGAAUACAGGUGUAGCGGUGAAAUGCGUAGAGAUCUGGAGGAAUACCGGUGGCGAAGGCGGCCCCCUGGACGAAGACUGACGCUCAGGUGCGAAAGCGUGGGGAGCAAACAGGAUUAGAUACCCUGGUAGUCCACGCUGUAAACGAUGUCGAUUUGGAGGUUGUGCCCUUGAGGCGUGGCUUCCGGAGCUAACGCGUUAAAUCGACCGCCUGGGGAGUACGGCCGCAAGGUUAAAACUCAAAUGAAUUGACGGGGGCCCGCACAAGCGGUGGAGCAUGUGGUUUAAUUCGAUGCAACGCGAAGAACCUUACCUACUCUUGACAUCCAGCGAAGACUGCAGAGAUGCGGUCGUGCCUUCGGGAACGCUGAGACAGGUGCUGCAUGGCUGUCGUCAGCUCGUGUUGUGAAAUGUUGGGUUAAGUCCCGCAACGAGCGCAACCCUUAUCCUCUGUUGCCAGCACUACGGGUGGGAACUCAGGGGAGACUGCCGGUGAUAAACCGGAGGAAGGUGGGGAUGACGUCAAGUCAUCAUGGCCCUUACGAGUAGGGCUACACACGUGCUACAAUGGCGUAUACAAAGAGAAGCGACCUCGCGAGAGCAAGCGGACCUCAUAAAGUACGUCGUAGUCCGGAUUGGAGUCUGCAACUCGACUCCAUGAAGUCGGAAUCGCUAGUAAUCGUAGAUCAGAAUGCUACGGUGAAUACGUUCCCGGGCCUUGUACACACCGCCCGUCACACCAUGGGAGUGGGUUGCAAAAGAAGUAGGUAGCUUAACCUUCGGGAGGGCGCUUACCACUUUGUGAUUCAUGACUGGGGUGAAGUCGUAACAAGGUAACCGUAGGGGAACCUGCGGUUGGAUCACCUCCUU
rnacentral:rRNA from 1 species